rnacentral:rRNA from 1 species
UACCCGCAGCUCAAGUGGUGGUCAUUAUUAUUGGGCCUAAAGCGUCCGUAGCUGGCCUGUUAGAUGCCUGGGUAAAUCGAUGCGCUCAACGUAUCGAAUUCCGGGUAGACCGGCAGGCUCGAGACCGGGAGAGGUGUAGGCUACUCGCGGGGUAGGGGUAAAAUCCCGUAAUCCUGCGGGGAGGACCAGUGGCGAAGGCGCUACACUAGAACGGCUCUGACAGUGAGGGACGAAGCCCUGGGGCGCAAACCGG